AAAGUCGUAACAAGGUCUCCGUUGGUGAACCAGCGGAGGGAUCAUUACCGAGUUAUACAACUCCCAAACCCACUGUGAACCUUACCUCAGUUGCCUCGGCGGGACCGCCCCGGCCGCCGCGCAAGCGGCGCCGGACUCCAAGGCGCCCGCCGCAGGGACCCAAAACUCUUUUGCAUUACGCCCAACGGCGGGAAUUUUUUCUCUGAGUGCAUAAGCAAAACAAAUGAAUCAAAACUUUCAACAACGGAUCUCUUGGUUCUG
rnacentral:misc_RNA from 1 species